rnacentral:rRNA from 1 species
AUUGAACGCUGGCGGCAUGCCUUACACAUGCAAGUCGAACGGUAACAGGUCUUUCGGGAUGCUGACGAGUGGCGAACGGGUGAGUAAUACAUCGGAACGUGCCUAGAAGUGGGGGAUAACUACUCGAAAGAGUGGCUAAUACCGCAUGAGAUCUAUGGAUGAAAGCAGGGGACCUUUGGGCCUUGUGCUACUAGAGCGGCCGAUGGCAGAUUAGGUAGUUGGUGGGAUAAAAGCUUACCAAGCCUACGAUCUGUAGCUGGUCUGAGAGGACGAUCAGCCACACUGGGACUGAGACACGGCCCAGACUCCUACGGGAGGCAGCAGUGGGGAAUUUUGGACAAUGGGCGCAAGCCUGAUCCAGCAAUGCCGCGUGCAGGAUGAAGGCCUUCGGGUUGUAAACUGCUUUUGUACGGAACGAAAAGUCUUGGGUUAAUACCCUGGGAUCAUGACGGUACCGUAAGAAUAAGCACCGGCUAACUACGUG